CCAGUUUGGGGGGUGCUUGUCGUGGGCACAGUCACUUUCAUUUUGGGAUUUGCUGGGUGUGUUGGAGCUCUCAGGGAAAACAUCUGCCUCCUUAAGUUUUUCUCUGGAGUCAUUGGCUUCAUCUUCUUCCUGGAGUUGACGGCUGCGGUGUUGGCGUUUGUGUUCCAGGGCCAAGUUAGGGAGUGGAUCAAUGAUUUCUUCUUGGCCAAUGUAAGGGCCUACAGGGACGACAUUGACCUGCAGAAUCUGAUUGACUCUCUAGAAACUGAAUUAUUGCUGUGGUGCUAAAGACCCCAACGACUGGAAUUUAAAUGUGUAUUUUAACUGCACAACUGCUAACCCAAGCAGAGAGAGAUGUGGAGUGCCCUUUUCCUGCUGCAUCAGCGACCCUGCUGAUACAGUGGUGAACACGCAGUGUGGGAUAUGAUGUUAGAAAAAACUGGCAACCCGACUCAAUGGGGCCAAACCAUUUAUGUCAAAGGAUGCAUGAUGGCUUUAGAGGAGUGGCUUCCACGCAAUCUCUACAAUUGUGGCUGGAGUCUUCAUAGUCAUAUCAUUGCUACAGAUGGUGGGAAUCUUC